UACAGGGGGGACUAGUGUUAUUCGGAGUGACUGGGCGUAAAGGGCAUGUAGGCGGUUUAUUAUGUUAAAAGUCAAAGACCAGAAUUGUUAUUUUGGAAUAUCUUUUAAAACGGAUAAACUAGAGUUAGAAAGAGGAUAGUGGAAUUUCUAGUGUAGAGAUAAAAUUCGUAAAUAUUAGAAGGAACUCCUAUUGGCGAAGGCUACUAUCUGGUUCUAUUUACUGACGCUGAGGUGCUAAAGCAUGGGGAUCAAACGGG
rnacentral:rRNA from 1 species